rnacentral:rRNA from 1 species
AUUGAAUAAACUUGAACAAGCUGUUUUUGCUGGCUUCUUUGGAGGCAUGUGCACGCUUGUCAUCUUUAUCUUUCCAACUUGUGCACUUAUUGUAGAUCUUGGAAGUUUGAAUUAUUUUCUAUAGAUUGAGGACUGCUGUGCUUUUACUAAAAAAAAGGUCAGCUUUGCCUUGUAUUUCGAGAUCUAUGUUUAUUACAACCUCUUAAUAUGUUAAGAAUGUUAAAAAAAGAGUUAAUUUAUACAACUUUCAGCAACGGAUCUCUUGGCUCUCGCAUCGAUGAAGAACGCAGCGAAAUGUGAUAAGUAAUGUGAAUUGCAGAAUUCAGUGAAUCAUCGAAUCUUUGAACGCAUCUUGCGCUUCUUGGUAUUCCGAGGAGCAUGCCUGUUUGAGUGUCAUUAAAUUCUCAACCAUAUUAAAUUCUUUUGAUAUGGCUUGGUUAUUGGAAGCCUGCAGGUCUUUUUUUAUAUGGGUCUGCUCUUCUAAAAUGCAUUAGUAGUAUAUACUGCUUACAGAUGUGAUAAUUAUUUACAUCUCUAUAGCAGAUCAUGCUGCUACUAACAAAAGCUGAACAUGUAUUAUAUAUUUGACCUCAAAUCAGGUAGGAGUACCCGCUGAACUUAAGCAUAUCAAUAAGCGGAGGAAAAGAAACUAACAAGGAUUCCCUUAGUAACUGCGAGUGAAGUGGGAAAAGCUCAAAUUUGAAAUCUGGCAGUUCUUGACUGUCCGAGUUGUAAUCUAGAGAAGUGUUACCUGUGCUGGACCAUGUAUAAGUCUUCUGGAAUGGAGUAUCAUAGAGGGUGAGAAUCCCGUCUUUGACAUGGACUACCAGUGCAUUAUGGUGUGCUCUCAAAGAGUCGAGUUGUUUGGGAAUGCAGCUCAAAAUGGGUGGUAAAUGCCAUCUAAAGCUAAAUAUUGGCGAGAGACCGAUAGCGAACAAGUACCGUGAGGGAAAGAUGAAAAGAACUUUGGAAAGAGAGUUAAACAGUACGUGAAAUUGCUGAAAGGGAAACGCUUGAAGUCAGUCACAUUGGCUAGAAAUCAGCCUUGCUUUUGUUAGGUGUUUAUUCUUGCUAAUGGGUCAGCAUCAAUUUUGACUGCUGGAUAAAGUCUUUGGGAAUGUGGCAUCUUUGGAUGUGUUAUAGCCCAUUGUCGCAUANCAGUGGUUGGGAUUGAGGAACUCAGCAUGCCACAAGGCCGGGUA